rnacentral:lncRNA from 1 species
GUACAACUAAAUGACAUGUUAUGUGAAGUAGGAUAUUAGUCAUGAUUCUUGUUGGGUUACUAUUUUACGAAAAUAGACACAUAAAGUAAAAAUGACAAAGUUUCAAAAAAUCGACUAAUCUUAAGAAAAAUCGAUUUUCCAAAUUAACAGAGUCACCACUUGAAUUUUUUAGUAAAACCAAGAAAGCUUACAAUUAUUUUUCAAAACAUUUAAAACAAAUGAAAAUUAGUUGAAAAGGGUUCGAAGUUCAAAUUUACACUCCAAGAAGGUGUUAGGCCUUUGCAAUGCCCGCUAACUCGCGGUUGACCGACUAUUUCACUAAAAAAGACUUUCACUUGAAUAUAUAAACUUUUCCAACUAAAGUUCAUUUAUCAUUUGCUACUUAAAAUUAUUUUUUUCUAAUUAAUUAAUUUAGUGAAAAGAAGAGAUUAUUUUAAAAGGGAGUGACUAAAGGUGGUUGAUUAGAAUAAAAAUAAGAUAAAGGAUAAGUGACUUGUAUAAAAAUAAUUUUUUAUGUUAUUUUCUUUUCAUUUAAUUAUCCUUUACAUUAAUUAUCUCUUUCAGAGGAAAAUAGCUAAGGGGAUGACCUAAAGAGAUGAACUUAAGGGUUAACAAAGAAGAAGUAGAAUAAAAACCAAGUAAAAAUAUAUGUAUAAAUAAAUUUUGAGUAUUUGUAUAUAAAUAUAAAUAAAAUGGCUAUAGUUUAGAAUUAAUUAAAUUGAAACCAAAAUAUUAGUCAAACAUGAAUAAAUAAAGAGAGGGAGAGGGGAUAGAAAAUUUAAUUUCGGCUAAUCAGCCCUAAUCCACAAAUCUGAUGGGCCCAACCUCUUCCCUAUCCUAUGUCUAUGUGGGUCCUAGGCCAUUUUUCCUUUGAACCUGCACUUAAACAUUGGGCUUGUUUGCCUUAAAAAGAUAUGUAUACAAUUUGUGUAUACUGCUGUAUACAUGGCAUAUCCGACCCAUUUGGACCUUUCAAGGCUUGCAUUUUUUGAAACGUUAUCCACUGUACUUUUGACCUGAGUAUUCACAUUUUCUGUACCCAUAUAAUGUAUAUUCUGACUGUAUACCAGUGUAUACAGUUGGUAUAACGAAUGUAUUUGCCUUUUUGGUGUUGGAAAGCUUAAUUUCCAGCAUUUUCUUUUAUUGUUCUCAACCUGUACACCAUUUAGAGGGGCUGGCCGACUCGGAGAGGAUAAUUUGAGCAUUUAUGGCUCAACAAGGUAGUGCAAGAAAUGGAGUAAAUUCUGUGACGAAUUGGAAGGGGUUUCACAUGCAAUAAAAUAGAAAUGAAUUAGCCAUGAAUGAUAAAAUAAGGCACAUCUUAAACACAACAUAAUUUAUAAGUAAAAAAAACCUAUUUUAAGAGAUUCAAGUCAGGCCAAAAUAUAUAACUUCAAGAAAAAAUCAAAAGAAUCCAACUAUCACUUACAAAUGUCAUGAACAAAAACAUGACACCACAGUAACAUCCGUUAUGCAAUGUCUGCACUUGUGAAUAUAUUAGGCCCCUAAGCGUACGUAGUCAUUGAAUAACAACCUAACUCAAGCAAUGUCAAGAAAGCAUGCUGCAUAUUUGUCUAAAUAAAAUGAUUCAUGCACAAAAGCGAAAACAACUCAAUAUGAUGAAUCUUACGGUAUUAAGUUCAAUCUCUCUAAGAAAAAAAAACAACACAACAAAUUACCUCCAUAAAGCCAUCUCAUUCAUAAAUGUCAUGGAAAACAAGCACUAACACACUGAUAACUACUGGAUCAAUAAGGGCACUUGACCUUUAAUGGAAAGCGGCAAAUCUUAUGAAAACAGGAACAUAACAAUAAGCUAUUCAGCCGCAGGAUUCAAAGUAAGAUGGGCAAAGAUCUUCAGAUUAAAAUAAAUAACAAUAAAACUAGAUUCCGGACCUCAAAACUAAAGAAAGAUUCACAACUGACAUCAUAAGAUUAGCGAUUAAACUAAAGAAUAUAAGUAAGAGCAAUUUGGAAUUACAUAGGGUCGACCAAACUUCCAACUACAUGAACAUAAGCAAAAAUAUAAUACCCAAAACAGAGAAAGAAGCCACUAAUUUCAACUAAGAGCAAAUCAAAAUUAUUCCAAACUUUCGAUAUUUACAAAUCUUGCAACCUUCAUAUAAUUACGACCUACAUCUUGAGAAGUAAAUGAUGGAAGAAGAAGUGUAUUUACCUUUCUAAAUGCAGCGAUUCAGGGAUAGUACGACCAGGGAUGAGCUUCUUUUGACCACACGAACACAUACACUAACACAAGCACGACACACAAACAAAACGAUGGAUGGAACCUUUACUCCAGGCGAGUUUAUGUAGAGAGAAUUAGAGGAAAAGUGCAAGGAUAGAAUUGAUACUCUUUUAUGCUCUCUCCAAAGGUAUGUAUUAUAUCUAUUUUAAGCUAUUGUUUUAGUAGGAUGAAGAUUAGUCUUUGGUUUUCCUUGCCUCACUCCUUGAAAAAAAAAUUCUGCCCCUUUUGAUGAACAGGAAGCUAUGUUAUAUAGGAGGAGAAUUAGGUUGAGACUGGGGGGAAAGGGAGACGCAAAACUCGGAAUCUUCAACUAGUUUUAAUUAAAAAAUCUUUCACUAUUUUUGCUAAACACCCUUUUCUGCAAAAUUAAAAAUCAUUCCCAAAAUAGGAAGGGGGACGGAUGGCUGGGAUUCAUCAGCUCGUCCUUGAGUGCUACGUGGCUCUUAGCCACGAGGGAAAGGACGAGUUUGCAGAAGAUUAUCACAGGAAAAGCAAGCUGAAAUCGUUAAAAGGCUGCCCCAAAUUGUACCUCCCUAAAGAAGGAGACAUUGGAAGUCACCCUCCCUUUAUUUGACGUCGCGUGGCGGUGAUGAAUCACAUGUAGGGGUUUUUUUCGUUGAUCACUCGUCGCUGCAUAGGAGGCGCCCUGAAGAUGUCAUUAACGUUGCUCUUUGGAAUCGUCUGGUUUUGGAUCGCUUUGAGGAGAAAAGGGAAAGUGCCGGGUCAUUUUGUGAAGGGAGAAAAAGGAUUGGGCCGGAUGGGACUAUUUUUGAAGUUGGGUUGCUGUAAUGUUAGGCUGCGAAUAGUAUUGGGCUUGUCUGAAAAACUUAAUUGAAUCUUCGCCCAAUAUUUGUCUCAAAAUUGAGUUAAGUGUUAUGGCCAAUACCCAAAUAAAAUGAAUUAAUAUAAAUUAAUUAACGAGCUUCUUGAUCAUUACGAAAUAAAUUACUUAAAUUUAUUACAAGCUAAAUAAAUAAAAAUUAUAGACUGUUAUGUAAGUAGAC